UCCCGGUUCUAGGCACGAACCGGGACAUUGGUCCCGGUUCGUGCCUAGAACCGGGACAGAAGGGAGAGCUUUAGUCCCGGUUCCAGCCACUAACCGGGCCAAAU
rfam:Triticum aestivum genome assembly, contig: Triticum_aestivum_CS42_TGACv1_scaffold_360999_4DS